rnacentral:tRNA from 1 species
CGGCCAAUAGCUCAAUCUGGUGAGAGCAGCACUCUGAUACAGUGCCGGUUGAACGUUCGAGUCGUUCUUGGCCGACCA